rnacentral:rRNA from 1 species
CAAGUCGAACGGGAAUCUUCGGAUUCCAGUGGCGGACGGGUGAGUAACGCGUAAGAAUCUAACUUCAGGACGGGGACAACAGUUGGAAACGACUGCUAAUACCCGAUGUGCCGCGAGGUGAAACCUAAUUGGCCUGAAGAAGAGCUUGCGUCUGAUUAGCUAGUUGGUGGGGUAAAGGCCUACCAAGGCGACGAUCAGUAGCUGGUCUGAGAGGAUGAGCAGCCACACUGGGACUGAGACACGGCCCAGACUCCUGCGGGAGGCAGCAGUGGGGAAUUUUCCGCAAUGGGCGAAAGCCUGACGGAGCAACGCCGCGUGAGGGAGGAAGGUCUUUGGAUUGUAAACCUCUUUUCUCAAGGAAGAAGUUCUGACGGUACUUGAGGAAUCAGCCUCGGCUAACUCCGUGCCAGCAGCCGCGGUAAUACGGGGGAGGCAAGCGUUAUCCGGAAUUAUUGGGCGUAAAGCGUCCGCAGGUGGUCAGCCAAGUCUGCUGUCAAAUCAGGUUGCUUAACGACCUAAAGGCGGUGGAAACUGGCAGACUAGAGAGCAGUAGGGGUAGCAGGAAUUCCCAGUGUAGCGGUGAAAUGCGUAGAGAUUGGGAAGAACAUCGGUGGCGAAAGCGUGCUACUGGGCUGUAUCUGACACUCAGGGACGAAAGCUAGGGGAGCGAAAGGGAUUAGAUACCCCUGUAGUCCUAGCCGUAAACGAUGGAUACUAGGCGUGGCUUGUAUCGACCCGAGCCGUGCCGAAGCUAACGCGUUAAGUAUCCCGCCUGGGGAGUACGCACGCAAGUGUGAAACUCAAAGGAAUUGACGG